UGAGGAAUAUUGGGCAAUGCCCGCAAGGGUGACCCAGCAACGCCGCGUGGAGGAUGAAUGUCGUAAGAUUGUAAACUCCUGUUAGAGGGGAAGAAUAGUACCGGUUGGACCGGUAUAUGACUGUACCCUCAGAGAAAGCCCCGGCUAACUACGUGCCAGCCGCCGCGGUAAUACGUAGGGGGCAAGCGUUGUCCGGAUUUACUGGGUGUAAAGGGCGCGCAGGCGGAAUGGAAAGUCAGUGGUGAAAUCCUACAGCUUAACUGUAGAACUGCCUUUUNUACUUUCAUUCUUGAGUUCGGGAGAGAGAGACGGAAUUCCAGGUGUAGUGGUGAAAUACGUAGAUAUCUGGAAGAACACCAGUUGCGAAGGCGGUCUCUUGGUCCGAUACUGACGCUGAGGCGCGAAAGCGUGGGGAGCAAACA
rnacentral:rRNA from 1 species